rnacentral:rRNA from 1 species
UCGGGGUACUCGAGUGGCGAACGGGUGAGUAACACGUGGGUGAUCUGCCCUGCACUUUGGGAUAAGCCUGGGAAACUGGGUCUAAUACCGAAUAGGACCACGCGCUUCAUGGUGUGUGGUGGAAAGCUUUUGCGGUGUGGGAUGGGCCCGCGGCCUAUCAGCUUGUUGGUGGGGUAAUGGCCUACCAAGGCGACGACGGGUAGCCGGCCUGAGAGGGUGACCGGCCACACUGGGACUGAGAUACGGCCCAGACUCCUACGGGAGGCAGCAGUGGGGAAUAUUGCACAAUGGGCGCAAGCCUGAUGCAGCGACGCCGCGUGAGGGAUGACGGCCUUCGGGUUGUAAACCUCUUUCAAUAGGGACGAAGCGCAAGUGACGGUACCUAUAGAAGAAGCACCGGCCAACUACGUGCCAGCAGCCGCGGUAAUACGUAGGGUGCGAGCGUUGUCCGGAUUACUGGGCGUAAAGAGCUCGUAGGUGGUUUGUCGCGUUGUUCGUGAAAACUCACAGCUUAACUGUGGGCGUGCGGGCGAUACGGGCAGACUAGAGUACUGCAGGGGAGACUGGAAUUCCUGGUGUAGCGGUGGAAUGCGCAGAUAUCAGGAGGAACACCGGUGGCGAAGGCGGGUCUCUGGGCAGUAACUGACGCUGAGGAGCGAAAGCGUGGGGAGCGAACAGGAUUAGAUACCCUGGUAGUCCACGCCGUAAACGGUGGGUACUAGGUGUGGGUUCCUUCCUUGGGAUCCGUGCCGUAGCUAACGCAUUAAGUACCCCGCCUGGGGAGUACGGCCGCAAGGCUAAAACUCAAAGGAAUUGACGGGGGCCCGCACAAGCGGCGGAGCAUGUGGAUUAAUUCGAUGCAACGCGAAGAACCUUACCUGGGUUUGACAUGCACAGGACGCCGGCAGAGAUGUCGGUUCCCUUGUGGCCUGUGUGCAGGUGGUGCAUGGCUGUCGUCAGCUCGUGUCGUGAGAUGUUGGGUUAAGUCCCGCAACGAGCGCAACCCUUGUCCUAUGUUGCCAGCGGGUUAUGCCGGGGACUCGUAGGAGACUGCCGGGGUCAACUCGGAGGAAGGUGGGGAUGACGUCAAGUCAUCAUGCCCCUUAUGUCCAGGGCUUCACACAUGCUACAAUGGCCGGUACAAAGGGCUGCGAUGCCGUGAGGUGGAGCGAAUCCUUUCAAAGCCGGUCUCAGUUCGGAUCGGGGUCUGCAACUCGACCCCGUGAAGUCGGAGUCGCUAGUAAUCGCAGAUCAGCAACGCUGCGGUGAAUACGUUCCCGGGCCUUGUACACACCGCCCGUCACGUCAUGAAAGUCGGUAACACCCGAAGCC